GGCUUCGACCUUUGACUUCGUGGCAUCCGACUUAACCUCGGGCUCACGUGUUGUAGGCACAGAGCUUUUGACAACCUCGAGCUUUUUACCAAAAAAGCACAACUGUUGAUCAGCGGAAGAGCCCUGACCAAGUAAUCUCUUCUUCUUAAGAGCCUCGAGGCCAGAAGUUUUGGAUUUUUUGCUAACCUCGACCAUGGGCAAAGAAGCUAAGUCCUCAAUUUUCUUUUUCUUCUUCCCCUUCCCUCUGUUUCCACAAAUUUCAAUAGAACCAGUCGCACCAGCCUCGCGCAUCCGCUUAGAGGGUUUGCGAGGUUUGACAUGAGGUUCCACCUCUAUGCCCAUCUCGGACAACACAAAAUUCACUCGCAGACCAUGUGUAACAAUCUUAAAAGCAGAUAAAUACUCACUCUCGUGACAGUGCCCCAAGAUGUCAACAGCCCACCUCUCGAUCUCAUCAAUAAAAACACCAGCAUUAGCUCCUUCAGCAACCUCAAACCAAAAAGAGGAAAAGGAACCGAUCUGGGGUACCACGCUCUAGUCUUCAUCACAACUUCCUUUGGCAUCCACCCACGAGAAAGGGGCUAAAUGUCCGCAGCCAGAAAUUCUUCAACCAAGUCCCACCCAGCAACAAACGAAGAAGCAAGAACAAAGGCAUCCUUGUAAGCUCGGAAAGCCUUUGUUCUCAAGAAAGUUGGAACAUAUGUAAUAUUCAAAGGAGACAUCGAGCUAAAGAACGGGUAGAAAGGUUGACCAUAACCAAAAGCCUCGGACAUGUCUACCUUGAUGUAAAACCAAUAGCUAAGCCAGUCGUCGUCCCAUCUGUUCUUCUGGGCCACAGAGAGCUCGACCCUAAACAUUUUCUUACUUUGAUUCUUCUUCCGGGUCGUGAAUGUGCAACAGCCAAAUUGAGUAUUGAAAGCCUUCUCCUCAUUGUCAAAUUGAACCCUUUUCUUCUGAAUAUGAAGCUCAAAGAGCCUCACAAAACCAUCAACAUCAAUAAUGCCCC
rnacentral:lncRNA from 1 species